AACAGUUUGAGUUCAAUAAAUAUUUUAAUAUAUAAAUAGAAUAAAUAUGAAUAAAUAGCAAGAAGCUGAGUUUACAUGAUUAUAUGUAUUUCUUUUUUGGUCUGCUUGAAAGUGCAGGUAUUCUAAAAUACUUUUAUUGUGGUAUAGUCAUCUCCUAGGUGACGGGUUUGUUUUUUCACUCUCGAGACUCCACUUGAAUGAUAUUGAUUAGACGUUACUGAUAAUCCUCUUAAGAAAAUGAAUACUAACUUUAGCUAACUCUAAUCUAACUUUUUCUAAAUCUAUUGAUCGUAUUGAAUCAUCUUACCUUUCCUUAUACCUAUUUUUCUACUGAUUGUUGAAGACCUGUGUUGUUUGAACCUCGAACUCCGAUUGGUUUUUUAUGUACACUGGAACACUGGAUGGCGAGUCAGUCCCCUUGGAUCGAUUGAACUGUUCUACCCUUUCAUACUGGAUAACCAACCCCUUGAACUGCCCUUUCAUACUGGAUAACCAACCCCUUGAACUGCCCUUUCAUACUGGAUAACCAACCCCUUGGAUCUGUUCCCUGGAUACAGAUAAGCCUUCACACAUACACUGACAUUGUACACUCACACCACCUUACCCGGGUAUUUCUUUUCUUUUGGACAUUUGAGUUUUUUACUAUUGAUUUGAUACUUUGAAUUUUUAAGAGCUCUUUUAUUAUUUUAUAGGGUUUUGUAUUUAUUUACUAUUUAUUUUCUAUUUACUAGUAUUUCCUCUUCUUUUCUCAUAGAGAAAAGAUAUUCUUGCAUUUAAUAAACCUGCAUUAUUUAUUUAUAACAUUUUACAUACUGGUGUCCUUGUCAAUUUACUCCCCCCUUAAUGCCGAACCUAGAACUGGCCUAAACUUAACAGUAACUCAUAGAAGCACCUCCUUUUACUUUAAAGUGCAAUUUAUUAUUAAGUAGAGUAGAGGGGUGCUACACAUGCAUUA